rnacentral:lncRNA from 1 species
UUCCGUUUGAAAAUUCAAAUUAAAAAGGCUCAAACCAUCAAAAUUACUAACCUUGUGGUGGAUGAAGAGGGCAAUUGUGGUGAAUGAUGGAGGAUAAUGUUUGAAAGAGACAUUUGGAGAAGAGCUUUAAAGGGAGGAGAGCUUUUAGGGAGGUGGGAACUUUGGAGGGGAGGUGGGCGCCGCUGGGAGUGAAUGAAUGUGAGUGUGAAAAAGGUAUAAUGGUAAAUUUGGUUUUAGUAUGGGAAAGAAGUGACGGAGGUGCAUGAAGAAGCAGUCCAACCACAGAGAGUAAUUUUGUCUUCCCAAAGCUUCUUAGUUUUUUUUUCUACCAUAAAGCCCAUAGAAGCAUGGCCACAACCUUCGUUAGCUCAUCCAUCACCAUCAACAUUUAACACAAAUGUAUGGCAAAUUCUCCUUGCACCUCAAUGGCUUCUUCAUAAAUUUUUGAAAUGUCAAAUGUACCAUUCAUAGUAGAUUUUAGGGUUUGUGGAUGGUUCUUGGUGGUUGGAGGUGGUUAUCAGAGGUGAAGGUGAGUUAACAUCUUCAUUUGCUUUUUUAUUUUUGUUUUAUUAUUGUAUACUGCAGAUGUCGACCUUAUUUUUGAAAUACAUACUUGAUUUACCUAUUUAGAAUACAAAAUAUCAUAUCUGGUAUUGUAUAACGGAUAGAUCAAUUCGAUAUGUGCUAUAAAUUUACAUACUGAAUUGUGUUAUUUGGUAUACAAUACCAUAUCCGAUUUUGUAUACCUAAAGAACCGAUCUGACAUGUGUUUCAAAAAAUGUUUCAAAAAAUGAGGUAUAUAAUAUGGUUUGUUUAGAGAAAAUGUGCAAACCAGUAUGUAAUUCAACAGAGUUUUAUUUUUAGUUUAUACCAUCCGACUUCAACAUAAUUUAUAAUUUUUUUUACCAAAGAUCCAAAAAUGGUGGAGAAAAAUGGAAUUCAAAAAACAAAAGCUUAACUUUCCUAGUAUUGUGCAAAUACUUUCUUUAACCCAGUCCUUGAGUGUGUUUCAAAUGUUUUCUUAAAUUCACUCUGGCUGGACAAUGAAGGUGUUGCCGUGGAGAAAAGAAAAAGGAAGUAAGGAG